rnacentral:rRNA from 1 species
UACGUAGGGUGCGAGCGUUAAUCGGAAUUACUGGGCGUAAAGCGUGCGCAGGCGGUUGUGCAAGACCGAUGUGAAAGCCCCGGGCUCAACCUGGGAACGGCAUUGGUGACUGCACGGCUAGAGUGUGUCAGAGGGGGGUAGAAUUCCACGUGUAGCAGUGAAACGCGUAGAGGUGUGGAGGAAUACCGAUGGCGAAGGCAGCCCCCUGGGAUGACACUGACGCUCAUGCACGAAAGCGUGGGGAGCAAACAGG